rnacentral:rRNA from 1 species
GAUGAACGCUGGCGGCGUGCCUAAUACAUGCAAGUCGAGCGAACAGACGAGGAGCUUGCUCCUCUGACGUUAGCGGCGGACGGGUGAGUAACACGUGGAUAACCUACCUAUAAGACUGGGAUAACUUCGGGAAACCGGAGCUAAUACCGGAUAACAUGUUGAACCGCAUGGUUCAACAGUGAAAGACGGUUUUGCUGUCACUUAUAGAUGGAUCCGCGUCGCAUUAGCUAGUUGGUAAGGUAACGGCUUACCAAAGCAACGAUGCGUAGCCGACCUGAGAGGGUGAUCGGCCACACUGGAACUGAGACACGGUCCAGACUCCUACGGGAGGCAGCAGUAGGGAAUCUUCCGCAAUGGGCGAAAGCCUGACGGAGCAACGCCGCGUGAGUGAAGAAGGUCUUCGGAUCGUAAAACUCUGUUAUUAGGGAAGAACAAAUGUGUAAGUAACUAUGCACGUCUUGACGGUACCUAAUCAGAAAGCCACGGCUAACUACGUG